ensembl:lncRNA
GGACGGGGGGAAAAAACACAGGAUAUGAUGGAGGGAAUCGAGGAGAAGAUACAAAUAACGGCACAAAGGCGGAGCUGCUGUUGGAUUCCUCAUAAGAAUUAUUCAAGGAGAAAUGGCACCUGGCCUGGGGGAAAUCAGCGCUGCCCUCAGCCGGAUUACUCCUGGCACAAUCCGGACACAGUCUUGUUUGAUGUCCCCCACCCAUCCGUCUUGAAGAUGAUCCCUCCCCAAAAGAGCAAAUCCAAGUUGUUUUGGAGGAAGUGCAGCAGCUUGACCAAUCAGAGUGAGUGCAGCGCUGGGAGACACAGUCCACCCUGGAGAAGCAAAAAGGUAGGAACGCCUGUAGUUUGGAAAAAACACACACAUGAAUGUAGCACACAGUCGCCAGCAAUCAAAGACAAUGACACACAAACAAAUUACUUUUAGGAGACAUGCUUGCAUCAGCAUGCUGAGCCCACAGCAUCCCUUCUCACCUGGGAGCUGUGUUGGACCACUGAGGUGUGGUAAGAUACUACACGCUCCAGGGCAUCCAUGACCUUUGAGUUAUGGCCGUCAGAAACUGUAUGUGUUUGUGUGUGUGAGUGGGGGAGAGAGGAAGGGACAGAGACAAAGGGGCAGAAAAGACGACGGGAGGAACAGACGGCGUAUGUGCUUUUUGUGAUUCCACUGACAGUGUGGUACGGCAAAUGACUUUUCCUCCAACGAGCAUGAGAAUCAGUUUUUGUUUAUAGCUGCAUCCACAGUACGGCUGCCCUUACCUGUACAGAGGCUCGGUGCCCUUUUCUGAACCAUUAUCAUAUUCGUACACCGCGUACUGUUCCCAUUUACAUCCAGGCCUCUGAGGAAUACGCAAUUGUGGUGGCUGAGCAUCUCUUUGUAGCAUUCAAGUACUUUACAAGUGGGGUUACUUUAAGAACAAUGACAGAAGGGCAUUAUUACAUUGAACAUGCAGAGAGUCUCUUGGAGCGGCUCUGUUCUCCACGCAGCAACCAAAUGAUGUAGUCUUUGAAAAAGGGCCAUGCCGGUUUUAUACAACACGGGUCUUCUCUUAGUCAUUUCUUCUCCUUCUUUUUGGGGAGAAUAACAUUUUCCAUCUGAUACUGAACUGUAAAUGUUCAAAUAUCCAAUUGUUUUCUGUGGAGUUGAAGAUUUUAUCGUCCAUGUUGGCUCAAAAGCUGAGGUGCAAAGUUUUUUUGCCCGUUUUGUUUUACUCGGAAUCUACACUUGCGUUUAACUGGCUUUGUUUAUAACCCGUGUUCGGGCUCCUCCAGGUUUUAUGAGCCGUGCAAUACCGAUUUAAAGAAAUUCAGGCAUUUGGUUUUUAUUCAUAACGGAUUAAUCUUUUUUUUUUGCUGUUUUUACUCUGUCUGUUGACCGUCAUGUGGACUGACAUUAAUGAAAGAAAAAAACUACUUCCAUGUGUCGUCGGUGGAAGAGUUAGCCACCUGCACAGCUCCGUCAGGAUGCAGUGAGGGACGAUUAACCCGUCUAAUUAGCGUCAUUCAUUCUGUAUCUGGCCUGACUGGGAUAAUGUUGUUGUGAUCCCAGAUCUCAGAUAUUAACGUGAUCAUCCCGAGUUAUAAUAAAGAGACUUACCUGCACCUACCUUGGCGGAAACAAGUAUUUGCUUGUCGUCGAAUAACAGGUCCAUGUAUUUUUUACACCUUUAAUGUCGCACUUUUUUUUUGACACAUUUACUUACUUGUGUGGAUUCACCUUAACAGGAAAAGGAGUAAUAUCUUUUUCCCCAGUCUUCAGUUUGUUGUGAGUACUCCAACAAGGUAAAUAAAUUUCUUGUGCGCAGCGUCAUCAGUAUGACUUUGACUACUCGGGAAACAUGAAUCUGUCUUAUUCCUUUGAUUUUCUCUUUGGUGUUAAGAGGCGCUGUAGUAAGGCUCCACAGGCUCCCUGAAAAUAGUUUAUGUUUUGUUACUCCCACGCACACAAGAGCAGCGACUGUCUCCCGUAAGAUGGAGAGCAAUCUUAUAUCUCUGCAAGCCUGCUUCAUUUAAAAUAUGGUAAAGCCUUCUGCUUUGUGAGAUGCUCUCCGUCUCGCGCGCGUGUGCGUGUGUGUGUGUGUGUGUGUGUGUGUGCUCCUAAGACUCAGGGAUGAUGCAUAGACUCUGACACUUUGACAGAUGAACAGAUUUAGAGCGCUCGAAGGACCCAGCCUGUUCAAUAAAGGCAGGAGCGAGUGUGCGAGCACGUUAGUGUGUUUGUGUGUGUGUGUGUGUGUGUGACUGCUUGUUUAUAUGUGACUGCUAAGCUUUGCUAAAUGUACAGUUCACGACGCUUUUAUUUAUCUUCAUUGAUGCAUAAGGUUGUGUAAUGGGUAGGGAUAUACAGGCGUGUCAGUCACAUUUAAUGCCAUGAUUGGGCCAAAGGAAACGUUCUCGUGUGCUGUCACAAGCUGUUGGAGAAUGUUUAGAGAGCACCUUCACAUCAUUACAACCAAGAUCCCCAAACGUCCCGUCAUCGCUGCCAUGUAUGUGACCUUGUUGCACCACAGAAACCUCUCAAGAAAACCCAGGAAGUUUUUCCAGGAACUCAAGAACUUGACCCGCUUUUCAGCCAACUCACCAUCCCGAGAUUCAACACUUGAUCUGAUUUACCUCCUAUGAUCUGUUGGUGCAGGUUCCCAGUCAUCUAGAUCAUGGAAAUGCUAAGACGUUUCGCCUCCCCUCCAAGAGGCGUCCUCAGUUCUAACUAACUGGAAGGGAGUAGUUUGCAGGCUUUGCAGUCUUCAGUGUCAAUGCAAGAAGCACGGUGCCCUUAACAAAGCGAGGCGGCAAGUAAGUUCUCAUUCCCUGGAUUCCCGUUUCAGCGGCGUCCCAGAAGAAGGCUCUCUGUUCUGUUCACGGAAUGAACACAGCCUGAGCGAGUCAACAGUAUCAAGCAGGAAUUCUCCGCUUCUGAAACUCCGCCGGAGGGAUAUGAAAGCGAGCGAAGGAGGGAACAAAACAGCGUUGCAGUCCAGUGGAAUUCAACAGCCAAACUGGUGAUUGACGCACAAAUCAGCAGGGCACGGUUCAACUCGGAGCAGUCAACAGUGCCGGUGACAGACGAACGAGUAGAUAUUUGGGCCUCAACCCAACCUUCAUGUUAACUACUACUGUUCAGCUGGUUGGCUUUAGUGGUGCAAACAGACCAGAAGGGUGGGACGCAGCGGCAUCAGUAUUUGACAACCUGGGAUGAAAACGUGUUGGACUUUAAUGCAAGAGUCAGGAGUUUGUGUCCUGUCACACACUCACUAUCAAAUCCCCUUAUUAUGAACUAUAACCAAAAUCCUUUCCCAUCCUUAAACAUGUGUCCUACUUUUCUGUCAAUUUACCUGAAUUCUCCCAUGUGACCCCCCCUCCUCCGUGACCUCCACUUCGAUCUACUACAUUACUUGGCCGGCUGGUUUCACCAUCACCAAGAGCAAACAAAGCCCGCUCAGCAAAGUGGCACCUCAGUGGUGGAAUGAACCUCCGACCAAUGUCAGGUCAGCAGAAUCACUCGCCAUCUUCCGCAAAAGAUUCAAGACUCAUUUGUUCAGACUUGACCCCACAUAGCCUGACUCCCUCCCUCUUUUUUACUUUAUCGACAGUGACAUGUUGUGGCUUCUUUCUUGUGACAAAUGUUCUUAUUUUAAUUCGCUUUGGACAAGAGCGUCUGCUAAAUGCCCUACAUGUAAACAAAACUUAACCUUAAAUCGAGUGUUUUAAAAACCUUUAUAAGCAGAUUUACCACAUUGACAAAUAUAAAAGUUUUUGUUUAUGGGCUACCCAAAAAAAGUCCUGCUCCUGAGCGGAAAACAAAUUCGAUGUCGUACAGAAGCUGUCAUUUUAUAACUUUUCUGAACGAAAUUGCCUAAUCUUCACGGUUUUAGUAUGCAGUGGAAACAUUUUUGUUCUUGGUUUAGUUAUUGGCCUCAGGGACUGUUUGUCGAAAAUGCACCAUUAGUGACAUAUUUCUAUGUAUGCCUGCGCACACAUGGAUUUGAGUGGGUCAUUAUGUCUCGGUGUGCAUGAGCGCUCAUGUGUACAGAACCUUUUCCAAGGGUGUGUGCAGGUGUAAGUCACUCAGUUCUUGACUGAGCAUGUUUCAGUGGUUUGGUGUGUUUGGUUUUGGGCCCUAGGCUUGAUGUUCUGUUCUCGCCGCUGUCGAGCUGUGGGAAAAGGACGCUCUCUGGCUCAACUUUUGCCUGAUUCUGAAAUUUCACAUUCCUCUGAACAUUACCUCAUGAAACCUGACAAGUCCAAAAGUAUAACUGAAAUCAAAUUGCAGGCUCAGUGUAGC